AAAAAAAAAAAAAAGGCAGAAAGAACAAAAAGCAGUACAGGAAACUAAAAUGUGCAAGAAAAGGCAAAAAAAAAGAAAGAAAAAAAGAAUAAAAAGGCUUCGUGAGAAGUUCACGAAGCGAGAAAUAAAUGAUGAUGUGACCAAUGAAAAGGAAAGUUGUGACUCAUUUCUGAAAAGGUCCUCCUUCAAAGCAAGAGGAGACACAUUUCCACAAGAAGGGUGGAAAAUAGAAUACGCAGGGUGGGCUGAGCUGUUUCGAUAGAUUACACCUAAUAAUAUAGAAAGUAUGUCCUUAAUUUAGUUUGAAUGUUCUGCCAAUAUUUAUAAUUUUCUGCUUAUUUAAUAUCUACUGUGCUGCUGAAUGAGAAUAAUGUGCUUUUUUAUUAAUAUUUCACUGAACAGUUAAGAGGAAAAGUUUAAAGAGAACUGAUAUGACAUAUUGAUAGCUCUUUGGUAAUUGAUAAAAUCACAUUUUGUGCACUUAAUCUAAAUCCUCCUCUGUAGGUUUCUCGACCUGCGAAUCCUCCCAUGCAUUGUCUAGAACAGGAACCAGGUGUCUUCUUUAGUCACUUCUGAGAGGCAGCAGUGCAGAUAUGCUCGACGGCUGCUGGAUCGUUCGGAUGACUGCAGUGCUCUCCGUCGUCUGUCCUGCGUUUUCUGAGGCUCAGUUUAGCUUGAGGAAAAGGCGAGACUUCAAAUCAGGCUACAAAGGCAUCACCCUGCGAAUACAGAGAACAACUACAGACAAUGAAACGGCUUCAAUCUACUGCCCAGAUCUGAGAAAUGAAGAGAAGUCUUCAUUUAACCUCAGUCUACACAAGAUUGAUAUAAACUCAACUGCAAUGACCAGCCUCAAGCCCAGUCACAGGUUGCAUUUAUCCAUAGAGAAAAACACUUUUUUGAUAAAAAUGCUUCAAGUCAAUCAUACAGGCCUGUACUGCUGUGGAGUCUGGCCUGACAGAACUGCUUACACUCUGCUACUUGUUGAAGAGUCACACUCGUGUGUAAGUGAGGGGAAGCCACUCUCCUGGAUAAUGCUGGCUGCAGGCUGUGGGCUAUUUGCUUUAUACAACCUCAUUGUGACAACUGUAGCCUGUUACUUUGGUGUGAGUUCUCACACACACACAUACACACACACACACACACACACACAUAUAGAUGUGUAAUGCAUUUAUUUCUACUUCACACAGUAUACCUGUUACUACAUGUGAGGAUGAGCAACAGUUUUACAUCAGUGCAACUACAAAAGAGUUUCUAUAAAAGUAAAAACCGGUGUUUCUGUUUCUGAACCAGAGGAAACUGAAAAAUGCAGAGACGGAGACUCAGAGCGAGUACUACAACACAAGGCCUGGAGAAUUCAGAAGAGCCAGAUGAGUUCAGAAUCCAGAUCCAGCUGCCCAAACCAAACGACCAAGAUGAUAAAAGCGGGAUCAUAUACAAUCAUAUGCUACUACAGUUUUUAAGUGCUUAUAUUGACAUAUCUAGCCUAUAUAGCAUCUAACUAGAAGUGCAAAUUGGCUAACAUAUAACAUAUAAUGUAACAUAUAAAUAAGUGCAAAAUGUAUGUGUGAAUGAGCUUAAUGAAGUAGAAUAUUUCAUGUGCAGGCAUGGAACAAUAUUAUGCAUAAAUGGAAAACAGCUAAAGUUAGCAGUGCAGAAUUAAAUAAAGAAAAAAGUGUGAACA
ensembl:lncRNA